UACGUAGGGGGCAAGCGUUGUCCGGAUUUAUUGGGCGUAAAGAGCGUGUAGGCGGCCAAGCAGGUCCGCUGUGAAAACUCGAGGCUCAACCUCGAGACGUCGGUGGAAACCGUUUGGCUAGAGUCCGGAAGAGGAGAGUGGAAUUCCCGGUGUAGCGGUGAAAUGCGCAGAUAUCGGGAGGAACACCAAUUGCGAAGGCAGCUCGCUGGGACGUUACUGACGCUGAGACGCGAAAGCGUGGGGAGCAAACAGG
rnacentral:rRNA from 1 species